GACGAACGCUGGCGGCGUGCCUAAUACAUGCAAGUCGAACGAGAGCGACCGGUGCUUGCACUGGUCAAUCUAGUGGCGAACGGGUGAGUAACACGUGGGUAACCUGCCCAUCAGAGGGGGAUAACAUUCGGAAACGGAUGCUAAAACCGCAUAGGUUCUUUAGUCGCAUGACUGAAGAAGGAAAAGAGGCUUAGGCUUCUGCUGAUGGAUGGACCCGCGGUGCAUUAGUUAGUUGGUGAGGUAACGGCUCACCAAGGCGAUGAUGCAUAGCCGACCUGAGAGGGUGAUCGGCCACAUUGGGACUGAGACACGGCCCAAACUCCUACGGGAGGCAGCAGUAGGGAAUCUUCCGCAAUGGACGCAAGUCUGACGGAGCAACGCCGCGUGAGUGAAGAAGGAUUUCGAUUCGUAAAACUCUGUUGUUAGAGAAGAACAGCGCAUAGAGUAACUGUUAUGCGUGUGACG
rnacentral:rRNA from 1 species